rnacentral:rRNA from 1 species
UACGUAGGGGGCAAGCGUUGUCCGGAAUCAUUGGGCGUAAAGAGCGCGUAGGCGGUCCGGUAAGUCAGCUGUGAAAGUCAAGGGCUCAACCCUUGAAAACCGGUUGAUACUGUCGGGCUAGAGUCCGGAAGAGGCGAGUGGAAUUCCCGGUGUAGCGGUGGAAUGCGUAGAGAUCGGGAAGAAUACCCGUGGCGAAGGCGGCCGACUGGGCCGUCUCCGACGCUGAUGCGCGAAAGCGUGGGAGCGAACAGG